rnacentral:rRNA from 2 species
CCCUGGCUCAGAUUGAACGCUGGCGGCAGGCCUAACACAUGCAAGUCGAGCGGUAGAGAGAAGCUUGCUUCUCUUGAGAGCGGCGGACGGGUGAGUAAUGCCUAGGAAUCUGCCUGGUAGUGGGGGAUAACGCUCGGAAACGGACGCUAAUACCGCAUACGUCCUACGGGAGAAAGCAGGGGACCUUCGGGCCUUGCGCUAUCAGAUGAGCCUAGGUCGGAUUAGCUAGUUGGUGAGGUAAUGGCUCACCAAGGCGACGAUCCGUAACUGGUCUGAGAGGAUGAUCAGUCACACUGGAACUGAGACACGGUCCAGACUCCUACGGGAGGCAGCAGUGGGGAAUAUUGGACAAUGGGCGAAAGCCUGAUCCAGCCAUGCCGCGUGUGUGAAGAAGGUCUUCGGAUUGUAAAGCACUUUAAGUUGGGAGGAAGGGCAUUAACCUAAUACGUUGGUGUCUUGACGUUACCGACAGAAUAAGCACCGGC